UACGAAGGUGGCAAGCGUUACUCGGAAUUACUAGGCGUAAAGGGCAGGUAGGUGGUUUGAUAAGUCUGUUGUGAAAGCUCCCGGCUUAACUGGGAGAGGUCAACGGAUACUGUCGAACUUGAGUAUGGGAGAGGUUACUGGAAUUCCCGGUGUAGCGGUGAAAUGCGCAGAGAUCGGGAGGAACACCAAUGGCGAAAGCAGGUAACUGGACCAUUACUGACACUCAGCUGCGAAAGCUAGGGGAGCAAACAGG
rnacentral:rRNA from 1 species